CUCGAGGGCAGCUCCAGCCUGGGCCCUUCCAGAAGGACCCUCCCCAUCUCCGUCUACAUCUACGCCCAGGGAGGUCAAAGGCAUCAGGAAAGGUGCAUGGGCCAAGAAGCCCCAGGACCACAGGUACGCUGCUGGCCCCGCCCAGGUCCGGGCUCCAGAAGGCCUCACUGUGACCUCACUCACUCACGGGGGAAGAGGUCAGAGCCAGGGAGUCCCCUCCAAGUUCCCCUCGAGCCACCCAGGCUGAAUCCAGGGGCUGCCCGGAGGAGGGGUUGGCAGCAGGUCCAGAAACUGAGAUGACGGAGGCCAGGAU
rnacentral:lncRNA from 9 species